rnacentral:miRNA from 1 species
CCACCAAAAUUUCUCUGAUGAAAAUAGGGACGUCCCUAUUUUCAUUAGAGGAAUUUUGGUGG